rnacentral:rRNA from 1 species
GUGUCAGCAGCCGCGGUAAUACGAAGGGGGCUAGCGUUGUUCGGAAUUACUGGGCGUAAAGCGUGCGCAGGCGGCCAUCCAAGUCAGUGGUGAAAGCCCGGAGCUCAACUCCGGAAUUGCCAUUGAAACUGUUUGGCUCGAGUACGAGAGAGGUGAGUGGAAUUCCCAGUGUAGAGGUGAAAUUCGUAGAUAUUGGGAAGAACACCGGUGGCGAAGGCGGCUCACUGGCUCGUAACUGACGCUCAUGCACGACAGCGUGGGGAUCAAACAGGAUUAGAUACCCUGGUAGUCC